GUGGACAAAAAAAAUCGUAAGAACUGAGAUAGGAGUUCUUCUUCACCUCUCACAUCCAAACAUUAUAAAACUUAAAGAGAUAUUUGAAACCCCUACAGAAAUCAGUCUGGUCUUAGAACUCGUCACAGGAGGAGAGCUGUUUGACAGGAUUGUGGAAAAGGGAUAUUAUAGUGAACGAGAUGCCGC